UCAUUGCUAUUGGGGUCCGAUUUAGCCAUGCUAGUUGCACGAGUUCAUACUCGUGGCGAAAAGCUCAGUAACACGUGGCCAAACUACCCUACAGAGAACGAUAACCUCGGGAAACUGAGGCUAAUAGUUCAUACGGGAGUCAUGCUGGAAUGCCGACUCCCCGAAACGCUCAGGCGCUGUAGGAUGUGGCUGCGGCCGAUUAGGUAGACGGUGGGGUAACGGCCCACCGUGCCGAUAAUCGGUACGGGUUGUGAGAGCAAGAGCCCGGAGACGGAAUCUGAGACAAGAUUCCGGGCCCUACGGGGCGCAGCAGGCGCGAAACCUUUACACUGCACGCAAGUGCGAUAAGGGGACCCCAAGUGCGAGGGCAUAUAGUCCUCGCUUUUCACGACUGUAAGGCGGUCGAGGAAUAAGAGCUGGGCAAGACCGGUGCCAGCCGCCGCGGUAAUACCGGCAGCUCAAGUGAUGACCGAUAUUAUUGGGCCUAAAGCGUCCGUAGCCGGCCACGAAGGUUCAUCGGGAAAUCCGCCAGCUCAACUGGCGGGCGUCCGGUGAAAACCACGUGGCUUGGGACCGGAAGGCUCGAGGGGUACGUCCGGGGUAGGAGUGAAAUCCCGUAAUCCUGGACGGACCACCGAUGGCGAAAGCACCUCGAGAAGACGGAUCCGACGGUGAGGGACGAAAGCUAGGGUCUCGAACCGGAUUAGAUACCCGGGUAGUCCUAGCUGUAAACGAUGCUCGCUAGGUGUGACACAGGCUACGAGCCUGUGUUGUGCCGUAGGGAAGCCGAGAAGCGAGCCGCCUGGGAAGUACGUCCGCAAGGAUGAAAC
rnacentral:rRNA from 1 species